UGGGGAAUAUUGGACAAUGGGGGAAACCCUGAUCCAGCAAUGCCGCGUGAGUGAAGAAGGCCUUAGGGUUGUAAAGCACUUUCAGUGGGGAGGAAGGCCUCGGCGUUAAUAUCGUCGAGGAUUGACGUUACCUACAGAAGAAGCACCGGCUAACUCUGUGCCAGCAGCCGCGGUAAUACAGAGGGUGCAAGCGUUAAUCGGAAUUACUGGGCGUAAAGGGCGCGUAGGUGGUUAAUUAAGUCAGAUGUGAAAUCCCCGGGCUUAACCUGGGAAUUGCAUUUGAAACUGAUUGGCUAGAGUACGGGAGAGGGAAGUGGAAUUUCCGGUGUAGCGGUGAAAUGCGUAGAUAUCGGAAGGAACACCAGUGGCGAAGGCGACUUCCUGGCCCGUUACUGACACUGAGGCGCGAAAGCGUGGGGAGCGAACA
rnacentral:rRNA from 1 species